UAGGCGUAAAUAGAUGCGAGUUAAGUGUGGGGGCGAUCUACGAGAUGGCCCUGUGCUGUAGGGUAGCCGUUAAACUCGCUGCCUGGGGAGUACGGUCGCAAGGCUGAAACUUAAAGGAAUUGGCGGGGGGAGCACCACAACGGGUGGAGCUUGCGGUUUAAUUGGAUUCAACGCCGGAAAUCUUACCGGGACCGACAGCAACAUGAAGGCCAGGCUGAAGACUUUGCCGGAUUAGCUGAGAGGAGGUGCAUGGCGUAGUCGUGU
rnacentral:rRNA from 1 species